UAUUCUCUAUUCUUAUUCUUUUUAGUGCCAAAGGACUCAAACUGUGGAAAUCUAAGUCUCUGAGGAUUCCUGUGUGACCAAAGGCUGCAUUUCUCUUCUCAAAGCUCUAUCCCUGCGGUGCUGCUGUCCACGCGUGGGGAGCUGCUAGAGGAUAAGGACAACUGCAAAGAAAGUCAGCUUUUGAGCAUUCCUUUGUGGAGCUGAAAGAACAUAAAGUCAUCACAGAGAGCCUCAUUAAAAGUGUUUAAUGAGAGCAGCACAAUCCCACAGCCCAAGGAUCAGCAUUAUAGCAAGGACUGCCCAGAAGCCUCAUCCCACCAAAGCCAGAUAUCACCAGGAGACCCCAUUCAGUGAGGGGUGCAUUGACUGCUGUCACCAGCACCCAGACAAGCACAGGAGACAAAGCAACCCAAGAGAACUGCAGCUGGAUAACAACACCAGUGCAAAUUUCUCAGCCCAGAACAAGCCAAGAUUCAUUUCUGGCCAAAAUUCCUGCACUAAUGCUAACCACCAUCUGAUUACAUGAUUUUCCUGAGAUCCUGAUGCAAGUCACUGUCACAGCCCUGGUUCCCUGUUGCCCACCUCUGCCUCUGGUUGGUCCAGUGCCCUUUGCAGCCCCAUCACCUGCACUCUGCUCACCACUGGAAAAACAUGCUCGUUUUCAAAGGUGUGUGGCUGAAGCUGUGCUUGGGACAAGUCCGAAUGCUCUCUGUCUGGGGAACAGGAUGGGGCUGAAUGGAAGAGAAGCAGCAAUUAAUGCAGAAAGAAGAAGAAAGAAGGAGAUUUCUCCACGCAGUCAACGUGUUGCAUGUGCACAUCCAGAGUUCUCACUCAACCAAAAAACAAUUCACUGACUGACGAAACUCCUCCCCAUGUUGAUUCAUUCCCUGUGCUGCACAUCUGCUCCUGGAAGGUAAUGUCAUGCAUCUGUGUCCAUAGUGAACUCACUAUUUUCCCCUCUCCUAGAUGCAUAGGCAAGUAUUUGCUUUCAUGCUCACAUCUGACCACAAUCUGUGAGCAAAUCAGGCGUGUUCAGCAAUGCUGCUCUUAGCUGCGCUUCCAAGGUUUUGUGUCAACAGGAACACUAGGUCAAUUUGCAAACAGCCCCAGAAAAUCUGGUGCAGCAUCUCUCACACUACUGACAGGGACUGCUUGAAUUCAGCAUUGCCAGGCUAACAGUUGUCAUUCAGCUCUUGAGCAGAUUUGCACCACCACCUCAUCUAUUUUUCAUCAGUCUUGCACCCUCUGUGACAUCCAUGUCAAUCCAUGAGUUCAGUCUGAUUCGGUUCAAUCCUACACAUACCAAGUGUGUGCAC